rnacentral:tRNA from 1 species
GGGCGAAUAGCUCAGCGGCAGAGCACCCGCCUUACACGCGGGGGGUCGCAGGUUCGAACCCUGCUUCGCCCACCA